rnacentral:lncRNA from 1 species
AUGAUUCUGAAAUUCCAGGAGUUAAUGACUAGCUCAAGGUCACAUGUCCGGCCUUGAGGCCAGAGUCCAGGUCCUUUGGCUUCUGCGCCAGGAUUUUUUCAGGACCUUGAACACGUCUGGUUGCGGUCCUGAACAGAGGAGGACACCACUCUGGAUGGUGGGGAGGAGGUGGCAGCAGUGACAGGAGAUGGGCCACACCCUGGGAGGACCAGAGCACAGCCGGCGAGACGGAAACGCUGGGCUCUAUCGCCUGGGGGUUGUAGCAUCCCGGGCGGCCUUCUGAACCGCCUUGAGCCCGUUUCCUCGGCUAUAAAACGGGGAUAACUCCCGGCUACGGGAGCUGCGCAGCAAGGAGAUAACGUAGGUCGAGUUUCUGGCACAUGAUAGGCACUUAAUAAACGGUGGCUCUAGUUACUAUGUUAAGAACUCCGUGAAUGUAGACAACGGGCACCUUUUACCUUGAAGCAGAGAGAAGGACACAUCGACACAGGAUACACACGUGCACCUCUGUGGGUGGACACAUUUCAUCGCUUCAGAAUGACAACCCUGAGGGAUAAGGGGCGCUCAGCUCGGGAGAGAGCACCUUUGGUGCAAGGAACAUGCGCUUGGACGUUCUGCGCUCUGCUCCAGCCCCGGCAGCUCUAUUUCCAACCCCUGUGACACUUGGCAGUUGGCCUCCAGAACCUCGGUUUUCUCAUCUAUUAAAUGGGCACAAUAACGGUUGUCAUGAGGUUAAAUGUAGGCACCUGGGCUCUAGCAGGUGCUCAUUAAAUGUCAGAGCCACUCCCCUUUUGUCCUCGACUCCGUGUCAGAAGGCAGUGGGUUAAGCACUCAAAGAAGACCUGCUGCAAAACGAAUAUAUGAAAGGAGUGAUAAAUCAACUGAAAUAAUCCAAAAAGCUAAAAACGAGCAGUUUCUAUGUGUGUAAAAAGUACAGUCUCUCCCUGAAGUAAUUAAUGCUGAACGGAAAAAAAAAAUCUGGAAUUGACAAGCAGGAACGUACUUUUCCCCUAUUCAAUAAAUAAAUAAGAAUGGUUAAGUCUAGAAGUGCCCCUUGUGGUGCAGUGGAAAGGAACCCGACUAGUAUUCAUGAGGACGCGGGUUCGAUCCCCGGCCUGGCUCAGAGGGUUAAGGAUCCGGUGCUACUGUGAAGCUGUAGUAUAGGUCGCAGAUGUAACUCGGAUCCCAUGUUGCUGUGGCUGUGGUAUAGGCUGGCAGCCGUAGUUCUGAUUUGAGCCCAAGCCUGGGAGCUUCCAUAUGUCAUGGGUGUGGCCCUAAAAAGAAAAAAAUAAAAAUAAAAAAAGAAUGGUUAGGUCUAAGCGUUCUGUAUUACUCAGGACUUUGGGCUUCUCAGGUUUCUAUUUUGACCUGGUUGAAAGAGACCACUGAAUUGCAAGUGAGCAGAAAUUUAUUUCAUUGUCUGACUCACAAAACAGACACAUGGGGCAAGAGUGAGCUCCUGUCACCCAGCCCAGGGACAGCACCUCCACCUCAACCACACAGAUAACGGGGACUGACAGCGACAGUCCAGCCACACUCGGCUCAGAGCCCCGUGGGGAGUCCCCUCCCAGGACAGGACCAAGGACACCUGUCUCUGGAGACACGUGGGAACUCCACCACGGGUGUCACAGGGCCACUGGCCCAGGCUCAGUGGUCUGGACAAGUUCGCCAGCCUGAUCACUCCUGCACCUCCCAGCGCUGUCCAUGGCCACAUGGGAACAGGGACCGAUGGUGAAAGGGGAGCGGUGGGGGUGGGGCUGGUGGGAGGAUGCUGAUGAGCAGACGAGGGAUGCGGGGUGCGGUGUCCGGGGUCCCCAUGCCGACCCAGCGCCAGUGAUGCUGCCGCAGCCACCUUAGCAAUUCCUUGCCGAACCGCCACACGGGGUAUUUAUCUGCCUCAGAGGACAGUUACAGUCUAAAAAUUCCCAGGGUCCCCCCAUGUCAUCUGGCCUGCCACGCCGGCUCGGCCUCUCCCCAACACGCCAUCCCUCUGGCUGCGACUUUGCCGUUUUGUCAAGCAAACAAAAUGCAUGCCUUCCUCAUCAACACUAUCUCCACGAAAACCUAGUGAAAAAGUAAUAAAAGUGACAUGGAGUUUAUUAAUAUUCACACUGCUGCCCACUGCCAGCAGCCGCACGUGCGCCAGCAACAGAGGAGGAGGCUGCCGGCAGCCGGUUCUCAGGGAACCGUGGUCCCUGUCAUCCAAGUGACCGUCAGCACAGCGGGAGGCUCCUGAGCCAAGGGUGUGGCCGAAAUAUAACUGCACGGCCAUCGAGAGGUCCAGCUGGGUGGGUGGCCGGCUGGGUGGCCUGCAGGGUGGCUGGGGCUACCCCCACCAUGAAACGGGGCUGAAGAUGCCAACCUGGUUACAUGACAUCGGUAGGACCAGGAGGCAAACCUCUGGAGCUCAUGACAGAAGUGGGCAAACGUUUUCCAAGGGGCCAGAGGAAAGCAAAGAAUCAGAACAAAUCAGGGCUGUUCUACUGAAGGCGUCACAGGACGAACAGUCUGUUACGACCCACACGAACUAAAGGAGCAGGAAGGAUGUGCACUCAUGAGAAAACUGUGGGCAAAGUUGCUGACUGUGCCCCCAAAGGAUGGUUUGGACAAAUUACCCCCAGGCAUGGGGAAGCAUGCCUGGGGAAUAGGUGGUGAUCAAAACAGAGCCUAGUGGACUCGUAUCCCGCUGAAGACAGCCUGGCUGUGAUCACAGUGACUUCGAACCUUCCUUACAGGAGUCCCCUUGAGAGACAGGACUACUUCUUCUUUUUUUUUUUUUUUUUUUUUUUUUUUUUUAUUGGCUUUUUUGCUUCUUUGGGCCUCAUCCGUGGCAUAUGGAGGUUCCCAGGCUAGGGGUCGAAUCGGAGCUACAGCUGCCAGCCUACAUCACAGCCACGGCAACGUGGGAUCUGAGCGUCAUCUGUGACCUACACCACAGCGCAUAGCCACCCACUGAGCCAGGCCAGGGAUCGAACCCAUAUCCUCAUGGAUACCAGUCGGAUUUGUU